GUCAGGAUCUGUCAGGAAAAUGAGCUCCCCAUGGUAGCUUUUUGCAGGAAGCUGCAGAUGUGGCAGACAAAAGACUUUACCUAGGUUGGAAGACUCCACCAUAGGUGAGCUAUCAACUGUGGCAAACAAGGUCUGAGCCAGCCUGCUCAAGGCUGGGGGCAGGCACAUCUGGCACCAGGUCUGCCUGCAUGUUACCAUGCCCCCCCACUAUGAUGUUAAUGGACUAAACCUCUGAAACUGUAAGCCAGACCCAAUUAAAUGUUUUCCUUUAUAAGAGUUGCUGUGGUCCUGGUGGCUCUUCAUAGCAAUAAAACACCAGCUAAGACAAUCAUCUGCCCCUGAUCCAGAAUCCCAGCAGCAAGGAACUUAAACUAAGGUAGAGCCAAGCUUUACCCUUCAUGGCCUAUCCCAAUGGUUCUAGACCCAACAGAAAGGACCUGAGAGUUGGAUUGGAAGUGUGCGAGCUUUGUGCUCACGUGGUCAGAUUUUCACGAUCAUCCAAUGAGCUUCUCCUGAAGAGGUUCAAGGAGGAAAAGAGAAAAUGCUCAUGUACCCAGGACAAACAUUGCCACAAAAGUUACCUUGGCAGUGUAUAACCCCAAAUUUAGUAGCAGGCAGGGUAGAACUAAGAGCCAAAGGAAGCUGAGCUCUUUGCGAAUCCACUAGGCUCAUGAUUUCCAAAGCUUGAGGGCAGUGAUAAAGAUGAUGGGAUCGACCUGGAUUCAGGUCCAUCUACUGGUGACAGACCCUGGACAAGUCCCAGGGUUUCUACAGGACCUGAUGCUCCAUUGGAACACAAAUCUUGGCAGAUGUCACCAGCCCACCCUGGCCUGCAGUCCUUUGGGGUCCACAGCCACUCUAAAGGGAGCCCUCACCUGUCACUACUCAUCAAACGCAGAUGUUGGCAGCAGCACAGAGCAAGCAUUCCUGACGCACACCGACCCUUAAAGCACUGCACAGGAAGUGGUGACAUGUGUGAGUCCCAGCUCCUCAGCUCUGCCACAGUGACAUGUGACAAAUGAGAGCAGGUAAGCUCCAAUCACACGGAUUUUAUGGAGGUUGGAAUUUUAAUAUCAAAGAGUUUUUAUAUGGCAUGAAUUUUUAAAAUAUUUUUCAAGUGUUUAAAGUGUAAGAUCUACUUUUGGCCUGCACUGGCAGAAAAACAAAGCAUACAGUGGGUCAAAUUCAAUGCUUGGCUACAGUGUGUUAAGCCCGAGCAAGGUAAACUUCUUGAGAGUCAUUUAUGGGACUCAGAAUCUAGACUAAAAAAUAUCUGAAACAGAUUAAAGGGGUGUGCCAGCACCACCUAGCUUACUCUUUAGUAAGCUAGAAAGUACAUAAUAAAAAGCUAUAAAGAAUUAAGCA
rnacentral:lncRNA from 1 species